CUACGCACUCCUACGGGAGGCAGCAGUGGGGAAUAUUGCACAAUGGGCGCAAGCCUGAUGCAGCCAUGCCGCGUGUAUGAAGAAGGCCUUCGGGUUGUAAAGUACUUUCAGCAGUGAGGAAGGUGGGUAUGUUAAUAGCAUACUCAUUUGACGUUAGCUGCAGAAGAAGCACCGGCUAACUCCGUGCCAGCAGCCGCGGUAAUACGGAGGGUGCGAGCGUUAAUCGGAAUUACUGGGCGUAAAGCGCAUGCAGGUGGUUUGUUAAGUCAGAUGUGAAAGCCCGGGGCUCAACCUCGGAAUUGCAUUUGAAACUGGACAAACUAGAGUACUGUAGAGGGGGUAGAAUUUCAGGUGUAGCGGUGAAAUGCGUAGAGAUCUGAAGGAAUACCGGUGGCGAAGGCGGCCCCCUGGACAGAUACUGACACUCAGAUGCGAAAGCGUGGGGAGCAAACAGGAUUAGAUACCCUGGUAG
rnacentral:rRNA from 1 species